rnacentral:rRNA from 1 species
GACAGAGGGUGCAAACGUUGUUCGGAAUUACUGGGCGUAAAGCGCGUGUAGGCGGCUCGGCAAGUCGGAUGUGAAAGCCCUGGGCUUAACCUAGGAAGUGCAUUCGAAACUGCCAAGCUUGAGUUCUGGAGAGGAAGGCGGAAUUCUCGGUGUAGAGGUGAAAUUCGUAGAUAUCGAGAGGAACACCGGUGGCGAAGGCGGCCUUCUGGACAGCAACUGACGCUGAGACGCGAAAGCGUGGGGAGCAAACAGG